GACGAACGCUGGCGGCGUGCUUAACACAUGCAAGUCGAACGAAGAGCGAUGGAAGCUUGCUUCUAUCAAUCUUAGUGGCGAACGGGUGAGUAACGCGUAAUCAACCUGCCCUUCAGAGGGGGACAACAGUUGGAAACGACUGCUAAUACCGCAUACGAUCUAAUCUCGGCAUCGAGGAUAGAUGAAAGGUGGCCUCUACAUGUAAGCUAUCACUGAAGGAGGGGAUUGCGUCUGAUUAGCUAGUUGGAGGGGUAACGGCCCACCAAGGCGAUGAUCAGUAGCCGGUCUGAGAGGAUGAACGGCCACAUUGGGACUGAGACACGGCCCAGACUCCUACGGGAGGCAGCAGUGGGGAAGCUUCCGCAAAGGACGAAAGUCUGACGGAGCAACGCCGCGUGAGUGAUGACGGCCUUCGGGUUGUAAAGCUCUGUUAAUCGGGACGAAAGGCCUUCUUGCGAAUAGUGAGAAGGAUUGACGGUACCGGAAUAGAAAGCCACGGCUAACUACGUG
rnacentral:rRNA from 1 species